UUGGGCAGGUUCCGAACUAUGGUAUGGACCAUAGUUGUGCAAGUAGUUGUAGAGCUUUCUCCUUUCUGACCACAAAGCAUUUCCGGUCCUGGAGCGAAAUUAGAAAAUCAGCAGCGAUGGCAGACUGGUCAGAACUCCCAAAGGAACUCCUCCGCCUAAUCUCGGAACUCAUAGACAGCCCCUUUUACCUUCUCCGAUUCCGAUCUGUCUGCUCCUCAUGGCGCUCUUCCUCUUCCCCACUCCCCACCCACCUACCCCUCAAGUUCCCCACCUUCCCCUCCGCUACCGCCGCCACCCCUUCCAUCUUUUCUCUCUCCAAACGCACCCUCUUCCUCAUCAACCCACCUCACCAAACCCCACACCGUUCCUGGCUCAUCAAAAUCGGCCAAGACACCCAUGGUCACACCCUCCUCUUCCACCCUCUCUCCCGUUUCCCAAUCAAAUCCAAUUCCAAUUCUAACUUAAUAUUAAACCUAAUCGACCUCCCUGUCUUUGACAUCGAACACGAGUUCAUCCUCGCUGACACGUGUCCCACCUCCCUCAACGCUCUCUACAUGGAGAAAGUCGUUUUCUCCUGGCUGGGUUCCCGAAAAGACGGUUUUGCCCUCCUCACGAUCCACAUAUCCGGAAGGCUCGCCCUCUUCCGGUCCGGGCACCCUGACUGGACUAUAAUCCCCGACAUGCUGACGCCGUACGACGACGUCUGCGUCCACAAGGGCAGCCUAUUCGCCGUUGACAGCACCGGCCGGACCGUGAUCGUUGGCCUUGACUUGAGUCUCACCCCGGUCGCUGACCCGGUCUUUGGCGGUGACAAGAAGUUCCUGGUUGCGUGCGAGAGUGAAUUGUUCUUGGUGGACAAGUACUUGUCCUCUGAUUAUCUUUGUGAAUUGGGGGGUUUUGAUGAUGAUGAUGAGGAUGAGAUCUACGAGCUUGGUUGUGAGAGGGCUGUGAGGUUUGAGGUUUAUAGGUUGGAGGAAAUGGAGAGGAGGUGGGUCGAGGUGGGGAGUUUGGGAGAUAGAGUUCUGUUCUUAGGGGAUGAUUGCGCAUUCUCGGCUUCCGCGUCGGAUUUGGGUAUUGAUGGAGGGGAUUGUGUGGUGUUUAGGGAUGAUACUUUCAACGUGAAUGCGCUGGAGAGCGGGUUGGGUGUGUUUCACUUGGAUAAAGGGAGGAUUUCGCCUUUGUCUGAUUACCCUAGCAUUUCCAAGUUGUUCUGGCCUCCUCCGGAUUGGAUUGGGUUGCAUGGAUUGCACUGAUGAAGAAUUAUGGAUCUUCAGCACCUGCUUUUCUGUGAUUUUAUUGAUGGUGCUACAUUUCCUGUUAUUAGUGCAGUUGUGGGGAUUGGGCUGCACCGAUUCCACAAGGUUGAAGGAUCACUUAAAAUUACUGACGUCCCUAGUGACCUUACACCAACAAAGCUGCUUGCGACAAGGCUGCAGUGGAAGUUGAAUAAAGGCUAGCAUACUUGUUAGUGAUCAGGAAGGCCAAUUUAUCUCACAGUCACAUGUCUGGCUACAUGCAUUUUGUUGAGAUUGAUAAGGCUGCUAUUUCAUGUUUAUUGCUGGUAAGCUCAUGAAUUCGGUGGGGAUUGUACAUAAGCUAGAUUUAUAAGCCCAAACUUCUAUCACUGCAAAUCAUGGAGGCAAGGCAUAGUAGCCAUUUUCUAUCUCUGCAAAUAAUUUUCUUGAUAUGUCGGAGCUUGUCAUUUUGAUCACUAUUAGGUGAUCAAAAUAUUUGAACGUAGAACUAUUGCUCUUAGUUCCCGUGCCUCUUCUGGCCUGAAUUAAUUCCUUUCUUUUAGAUGUCGAAGGAGUUGCAGAAUGCUGAAUCUUGAAUAUUUCUGUAAUCUAGAACUAUAUGACUAAAUCUGUUAUUCCUUUGGGUGUUUUAUGUAACACAAUUGCUAAUAUCAAUGAUAGAGUUAUCUUAUUCUUU